rnacentral:rRNA from 1 species
UACGGGGGGUGCGAGCGUUGUCCGGAAUCACUGGGCGUAAAGGGCGCGUAGGCGGUCUGGUAAGCGUGCGGUGAAAGCCCGGGGCUCAACCCCGGGUCGGCCGUGCGAACUGCUGGACUGGAGCUUGUCAGAGGCAGGCGGAAUUCCGGGUGUAGCGGUGGAAUGCGUAGAGAUCCGGAAGAACACCGGUGGCGAAGGCGGCCUGCUGGGACAGUGCUGACGCUGAAGCGCGACAGCGUGGGGAGCAAACAGG